CCUCGUGCAAAGGGGCGGCCCUCGUGCAAGGAUGGUUGUCGUGCAAGGAUGGUCCUCGUGCAAAGGGGCAGCCCUCGUGCAAGGAUGAACCUCAUGCAAGGAUGGUCCUCGUGCAAAGGACGGACCUCGUGCAAGGGCGGCCCGCGUGUGAAGAGCACCCUCGUGCAAGCGGUGUCCUUGUGCAAGGGGGCUGCGUGUGCAGGGGGGGCUGCACAGCACACAGAAGCGUGCGGAGGACGUUGUCGUGCAAGGCCCGUCCUCGUGCAACGGCGACCCUCGUGCAAAGACCCCCCCUCGUGCAAAGACCCCCCCUCGUGCAAGGGCCCCCCUCGCACGCCGCGAAGCCUGAAGCCCCCCCUCGUGCACCGGCGCCCUCGUGCAGAGCUCACCCUCGCGUGCAACCCCCCCACCUCCUCCUCGUGCAAGGACCCCCCCCCCAAUGCACACUCACCCCCCCCCCCCCCGCCGUGGCCCUCCCCCUCUGUUUGCACUUUCGUGGCCGCGUUUGCUACUGACUGCCCCCCCCCACCCCCCAAAGUUUGCCCCCCCCCCCACCCCGCCCCCCCACCGCACUUUAGGGGGGACCCUACAAAAAUAGACCCCCCCCCCAAAAAAGAAAGA
rnacentral:lncRNA from 1 species